rnacentral:rRNA from 1 species
UACGUAGGUGGCAAGCGUUGUCCGGAUUUAUUGGGUUUAAAGGGUGCAUAGGCGGCCUUAUAAGUCAGUGCUGAAAUAUCCCGGCUUAACCGGGAGGGUGGCAUUGAUACUGUAGGGCUUGAGUGUAGUCGAGGUAGGCGGAAUUGACGGUGUAGCGGUGAAAUGCUUAGAUAUCGUCAAGAACACCGAUAGUGUAGACAGCUUACUAGGCUACAACUGACGCUGAGGCACGAAAGUGUGGGGAUCAAACAGG